rnacentral:rRNA from 1 species
GACGAACGCUGGCGGCGUGCCUAAUACAUGCAAGUAGAACGCUGAAGGAGGAGCUUGCUUCUCUGGAUGAGUUGCGAACGGGUGAGUAACGCGUAGGUAACCUGCCUGGUAGCGGGGGAUAACUAUUGGAAACGAUAGCUAAUACCGCAUAAUAGUAGAUGUUGCAUGACAUUUGCUUAAAAGGUGCAAUUGCAUCACUACCAGAUGGACCUGCGUUGUAUUAGCUAGUUGGUGAGGUAACGGCUCACCAAGGCGACGAUACAUAGCCGACCUGAGAGGGGGAUCGGCCACACUGGGACUGAGACACGGCCCAGACUCCUACGGGAGGCAGCAGUAGGGAAUCUUCGGCAAUGGACGGAAGUCUGACCGAGCAACGCCGCGUGAGUGAAGAAGGGUUUCGGAUCGUAAAGCUCGGUUGUAAGAGAAGAACGAGUGUGAGAGUGGAAAGUUCACACUGUGACGGUAUCUUACCAGAAAGGGACGGCUAACUACGUG